rnacentral:rRNA from 1 species
UACGUAGGGUGCAGGCGUUAAUCGGAAUUACUGGGCGUAAAGCGUGCGCAGGCGGUUUGCUAAGACAGGUGUGAAAUCCCCCGGGCUUAACCUGGGAACUGCGCUUGUUACUGGCAAGCUUGAGUGUGGCAGAGGGGGGUGGAAUUCCACGUGUAGCAGGUGAAAUGCGUAGAGAUGUGGAGGAACACCGAUGGCGAAGGCAGCCCCCUGGGCUAACACUGACGCCUGAUGCACGAAAGCGUGGGGAGC